AAUAGAUACCCUGGUAGUCCACGCCGUAAACGAUGAGUGCUAAGUGUUAGGGGGUUUCCGCCCCUUAGUGCUGCAGCUAACGCAUUAAGCACUCCGCCUGGGGAGUACGGUCGCAAGACUGAAACUCAAAGGAAUUGACGGGGGCCCGCACAAGCGGUGGAGCAUGUGGUUUAAUUCGAAGCAACGCGAAGAACCUUACCAGGUCUUGACAUCCCAUUGACCGCUAUGGAGACAUAGCUUUCCCUUCGGGGACAGUGGUGACAGGUGGUGCAUGGUUGUCGUCAGCUCGUGUCGUGAGAUGUUGGGUUAAGUCCCGCAACGAGCGCAACCCUUGUCUUAGUUGCCAUCAUUUAGUUGGGCACUCUAAGGAGACUGCCGGUGACAAACCGGAGGAAGUGGGGAUGACGUCAAAUCAUCAUGCCCCUUAUGACCUGGGCUACACACGUGCUACAAUGGACGGUACAAACGGUUGCCAACCCGGCAGGGGGGAGCUAAUCCGAUAAAACCGUUCUCAGUUCGGAUUGUAGGCUGCAACUCGCUAA
rnacentral:rRNA from 1 species